rnacentral:rRNA from 1 species
AAGACCUUGCGCUUUUGGAGCGGCCGAUGCCUGAUUAGCUUGUUGGUAAGGUAAAAGCUUACCAAGGCUUCGAUCAGUAGCUGGUCUGAGAGGACGGCCAGCCACACUGGGACUGAGACACGGCCCAGACUCCUACGGGAGGCAGCAGUGGGGAAUUUUGGACAAUGGGGGCAACCCUGAUCCAGCCAUGCCGCGUGAGUGAAGAAGGCCUUCGGGUUGUAAAGCUCUUUCAGCCGGAACGAAACGGUUACGGUUAAUACCCGCGAUUACUGACGGUACCGGAAGAAGAAGCACCGGCUAACUACGUGCCAGCAGCCGCGGUAAUACGUAGGGUGCGAGCGUUAAUCGGAAUUACUGGGCGUAAAGCGUGCGCAGGUGGUUUUGUAAGUCAGAUGUGAAAGCCCCGGGCUCAACCUGGGAACU